rnacentral:rRNA from 1 species
GCAGGCGGCAGCUAUACAUGCAGUCGAACGACUCUGGUAUUGAUUGGUGCUUGCAUCAUGAUUUACAUUUGAGUGAGUGGCGAACUGGUGAGUAACACGUGGGAAACCUGCCCAGAAGCGGGGGAUAACACCUGGAAACAGAUGCUAAUACCGCAUAACAACUUGGACCGCAUGGUCCGAGCUUGAAAGAUGGCUUCGGCUAUCACUUUUGGAUGGUCCCGCGGCGUAUUAGCUAGAUGGUGGGGUAACGGCUCACCAUGGCAAUGAUACGUAGCCGACCUGAGAGGGUAAUCGGCCACAUUGGGACUGAGACACGGCCCAAACUCCUACGGGAGGCAGCAGUAGGGAAUCUUCCACAAUGGACGAAAGUCUGAUGGAGCAACGCCGCGUGAGUGAAGAAGGGUUUCGGCUCGUAAAACUCUGUUGUUAAAGAAGAACAUAUCUGAGAGUAACUGUUCAGGUAUUGACGGUAUUUAACCAGAAAGCCACGGCUAACUACGUGCCAGCAGCCGCGGUAAUACGUAGGUGGCAAGCGUUGUCCGGAUUUAUUGGGCGUAAAGCGAGCGCAGGCGGUUUUUUAAGUCUGAUGUGAAAGCCUUCGGCUCAACCGAAGAAGUGCAUCGGAAACUGGGAAACUUGAGUGCAGAAGAGGACAGUGGAACUCCAUGUGUAGCGGUGAAAUGCGUAGAUAUAUGGAAGAACACCAGUGGCGAAGGCGGCUGUCUGGUCUGUAACUGACGCUGAGGCUCGAAAGUAUGGGUAGCAAACAGGAUUAGAUACCCUGGUAGUCCAUACCGUAAACGAUGAAUGCUAAGUGUUGGAGGGUUUCCGCCCUUCAGUGCUGCAGCUAACGCAUUAAGCAUUCCGCCUGGGGAGUACGGCCGCAGGCUGAAACUCAAAGGAAUUGACGGGGGCCCGCACAAGCGGUGGGAGCAUGUGGUUUAAUUCGAAGCUACGCGAAGGACCUUACCAGGUCUUGACAUACUAUGCUAAUCUAAAAGAUCAGACGAUCCCUCGGGUACAUGGAUACAGGUGUCGCAUGGUUGUCAGUCAGCUCGUGUCGAGAGGAAUGUUUGUGUUUAAGUCCCGGCACGAGCGCAACAUUAUUAUUCAUGCAAGAAUUACAUGGCCAUUCUGGUCGAACUGCGGUGAACCAGGCGGAGUACGAAGGUAAUGACGAUCAAAUAUACGUCCGUAAUGACCUGUGGUCUCAACAGCGUUGAGCUUACGA